GGGCCCGCACAAGCGGCGGAGCAUGCGGAUUAAUUCGAUGCAACGCGAAGAACCUUACCAAGGCUUGACAUACACCGGAAAAGUGCAGAGAUGUGCUCCCCGCAAGGUCGGUGUACAGGUGGUGCAUGGUUGUCGUCAGCUCGUGUCGUGAGAUGUUGGGUUAAGUCCCGCAACGAGCGCAACCCUCGUCCCAUGUUGCCAGCGGGUGAUGCCGGGGACUCAUGGGAGACUGCCGGGGUCAACUCGGAGGAAGGUGGGGAUGACGUCAAAUCAUCAUGCCCCUUAUGUCUUGGGCUUCACGCAUGCUACAAUGGCCGGUACAAAGGGCUGCGAUACCGCGAGGUGGAGCGAAUCCCAAAAAGCCGGUCUCAGUUCGGAUUGGGGUCUGCAACUCGACCCCAUGAAGUCGGAGUCGCUAGUAAUCGCAGA
rnacentral:rRNA from 1 species